rnacentral:misc_RNA from 1 species
AACGCACAUUGCGCCCCCUAGCACUCUAGAGGGCAUGCCUGUCCGAGCGUCAUUUCAACCCUCAAGCGCUGUUCCGCUUGGAGUUGGGGCUCUUGCAGCGAGCACCUGGUGCCCCGCAAGCCCUGAAAUACAGCGGCGAGCCCGCCGGCACACCGAGCGCAGUAAUAUCACUUCUCGUUCAGGGCGUGCGGCGCGGCGCAGCCGACCUCAAAAAACUUUUAUACAAAGUUGACCUCGGAUCAGGUAGGACUACCCGCUGAACUUAA